GUGCUGCCUUCAGCAGCAUAUAUACUAAAAUUGGAAAGACACGGAGAUUAGCACGGCCCCUGCGUAAGGACCACACGAAAAUUCGUGAAGCAUUCCAUAUUUUU